rnacentral:lncRNA from 1 species
UCAUCCAUUCAACUCGGAAUCGAUCCUGCCCUCUGCACAUCUUCAUCAUCUCACACGCUGAGCUUCAUCCAUCUGCCCAGUGUUUUCAGUGACCUGCUAACCAAGACCCAGCAUCUACGGCCACGGCGACGUCGGCACGAGAGAUCAACAAAGUCUCCUCGAUUCAACGGCUACAGACGAAAUAAGGACCACCUGAAAAUGCUCUGUGGGGAUUUACAUUUGAUCGUAGGAAGUGCAGCGGAACCUUCUGGAACCAAAUCAGGGCCACGAGUGUCUGAGCCACUCCCACUCCCUGGCAUCCUUGCUGCCUUAAUGAAAUGUGAAUUAUGAAAUUAAUUGUAAAGGGGUGGCAUCCAUAAUCUGCUUCUACUCUGUGCAUCUCUUGUAUUCAUUUGCACAGUUUCCACAAAUUCACAACAUGAAUCUGCAGAAUGUUAUUUCACACUUCAUAGCCGCAGUUUUUAAUUACAGUUUCGGGAAAUGAAAGUACGGAACUAAUUAGCCAGAUCAAACGGCAUGCUAAAGCCAGCACUUUACUCUUUUUUUUAAUAGAACAGAUCAGUUGGGGUAAUUAGUGUUAACUAAUAAUGAAUAACUAAUAAUGUAGUUCAAUGUUUGUAACAGCAGUGGGAAUGUGAGGAAAUUUAGUAAACGGGACCAAAUAGUCAUGAAUGAGCCUUCAAGGUCGAGGCACAAGAAAUUCAUAAAACCGGGACAUUUUCUCUAAUGCAGUUCUUGGACACCCCAUAAAGCCCGUCCUCCUCCAUUAUCCCGGUGAAAGGACAUCCCAUUCCGUCCCGUCCUCCCCUUCUUCUGUUUCCGAUGCAGCAGGACGGGCUGUCAGGGUGGACCGUCGGUGAUUAAGCUCGAGGCCGAAAGAGAAACGUGCCUUUCGAAUGGUGGAACUCAGUCCCGAAUUCAGCGCUCGUCCCAUCUGCGACGUCCCCGGGACGCUUUGCUAAACAAACGCAGCGUGAUGGAUCUCUGAGGAAGUCUCCUGUUUGCUACACGGGGCCGACGCUCAGAUAAAUCACCGGCCUGUAGUUGGACCCGGAGCCGGUUAAUGGACGCGCUGCAGUUUCGUUGGCGGGAA